GAGCUGUGAUGACUAUUGCACAAAUUGUGAAGUUGGGUCUUCAUAGUCAUCUGAUUUAAAUGAUGAAAUGUAGUGUAUCUGAGCUC
rnacentral:snoRNA from 1 species